GGAAUAUUGGACAAUGGGCGCAAGCCUGAUCCAGCCAUGCCGCGUGUGUGAAGAAGGCCUUCGGGUUGUAAAGCACUUUCAGCGGGGAGGAAGGGGUGUGUGUUAAUAGCACAUAUUCUUGACGUUACCCGCAGAAGAAGCACCGGAUAACUCCGUGCCAGCAGCCGCGGUAAUACGGAGGGUGCAAGCGUUAAUCGGAAUUACUGGGCGUAAAGCGCACGUAGGCGGUAUGUUAAGUUGGAUGUGAAAGCCCCGGGCUCAACCUGGGAACUGCAUCCAAAACUGGCCGACUAGAGUACAGUAGAGGGUGGUGGAAUUUCCUGUGUAGCGGUGAAAUGCGUAGAUAUAGGAAGGAACACCAGUGGCGAAGGCGACCACCUGGACUGAUACUGACACUGAGGUGCGAAAGCGUGGGGAGCAAAC
rnacentral:rRNA from 1 species